UUCUUACUGUAUUUUUAGUAAGUAACACCUGCCCAGUGAAAAUUUUACGGCCGCGGAAACUUAACCGUGSUAAGGUAGCAUAAUCAUUAGCCCCUUAAUUAGGGGCCAGAAUGAAAGGUAGUACUCUCCAUUCUCUUUAUUUUUUUUUUUAUUUAAAAUUUAAUCAAAAAUAAAAAUGUUUUUAUAACAAAAAUAGACGACAAGACCCUAUUGAACUUUACUUUAGUUUAACUGGGGCAGUUAAAUAAUAAUUACUUUAUUUUUUUAAAUUAAAUAAAUGUCCCAAUACCAUUGAUUUUUUGAUCAAGUUACCAUAGGGAUAACAGCGUAAUAUUUUUUUGUAGCUCUUAUAUAAUAAAAUGAUUGCGACCUCGAUGUUGAAUUAGUAUAACUUUCUAAKGCAACAAUUUUUAAAGUGGGUCUGUUCGACCUUUAAAAUACUACAU
rnacentral:rRNA from 1 species